UGGGGAAUAUUGCACAAUGGGCGCAAGCCUGAUGCAGCCAUGCCGCGUGUAUGAAGAAGGCCUUCGGGUUGUAAAGUACUUUCAGCGGGGAGGAAGGGAGUAAAGUUAAUACCUUUGCUCAUUGACGUUACCCGCAGAAGAAGCACCGGCUAACUCCGUGCCAGCAGCCGCGGUAAUACGGAGGGUGCAAGCGUUAAACGGAAUUACUGGGCGUAAAGCGCACGCAGGCGGUUGAUUGAGUCAGAUGUGAAAUCCCCGGGCUUAACCCGGGAAUUGCAUCUGAUACUGGUUAGCUAGAGUCUUGUAGAUGGGGGUAGAAUUCCAUGUGUAGCGGUGAAAUGCGUAGAGAUGUGGAGGAAUACCGGUGGCGAAGGCGGCCCCCUGGACAAAGACUGACGCUCAGGUGCGAAAGCGUGGGGAGCAAACAGG
rnacentral:rRNA from 1 species